rnacentral:snoRNA from 1 species
GGCUGUGAAGAACAAUAUUCCCAACGCUUGGAAUGAAACAAAGUGAUUAUUUCCAAUCCUUUUUCUGAGCCCA